CAUUUCUUGGGCUGCUCUCAUGGCGUAUGGAGGUUCCCAGACUAGGGAUCUAAUCGGAGCUGUAGCCGCCAGCCUACACCACAGCCACAGCAAUGCUGGAUGCAAGCCACAUCUGUGACCUACACCACAGCUCAUGGCAAUGCCGGAUCCUUAACCCACUGAGCAAGGCCAGGGAUUGAACCCGCAAACUCGUGGUUUCUAGUCGGAUUCGUUAACCACUGCUCCACAAUGGGAACUCCACCUUCUCCACAUUUAAUUUUCCAAAUUUCUCUCUCUGAAACUAUAUGGCUGGAAUGAAGAAUCAAAAACAAAUAUGUAGGCAAAUAAGCAAACAAACAAAGCAUUGACUUCAUUUUUCCCUUACUAGACAACUAGAACCUAAGUUCUUUGAGGUUAGAAAUGCUGUAUACUCUAUUGUACUAGGCUGAAGAAUGGCCCUCUCUCUCUGCAAAAUGUCCACAUCUAAUUCCUAGACCCUGUGACUGUUAUUUUAGAUGGCAAAUGGGACUCUGCAGAUAAGGAGACUUCCCCUAGAGCUUUGAGAAGGAACUAGCUCUGCCAAUCCUCUGAUUUUAGCCCAGCAAAACUGAUUUCAGACUUCAGAUCACCAGAAUGUUUAAGAGAAGGAAUGGCUGUUUUUGAAGUGCCAUGUUUUGGGUAAUUUGCUAAAGAAGCAAUAGAAAACUAAUAAACUCACAGAUCAUUUCAUGCCUUUCAUGUCUAGCCCAGUGCUUGGCAUAAAAUAGAGACUCAUAAAUUGUUAUUUACUGAAUGAACUGAAAAUAUAAGUGAAGGGAAUCAUGAGAAUGGAAUGUACCCAAUGCAUGACAACAUUUUUUGGUUUAAAAAAAUUCCAUAUUUAUAAGGAUGAGAAGUACAUUUCUUUAAGGCUCAACUGGGUGUACGGUUACUCAACUAUCCACUACAAGAACCCAGAGUUUAGGCAGCUUUGAAUUAGCUCUUUAGGGCUUGCAAGCUCUUUCCUGGGAGUAGGUGCAUGUGGCUGUAGAGCAUGAUAAACAGCUUUUUGAAGCCAAUUGCUUUAAGAAUAUCUACUUAGCGCUUCUAGGGAGUCACAGCACCAGGAAGACUGGGAGGAAGAGGAAGAAGAGGCAGUGUCCAACUGUACAAUACAAAUACCAGCACCUUGAAGAAAGUCUAGUAUUUAUUAGGCACUCAAGAAAAUUCGAGAAUAGAUGUCAUUUAGAGCCCCUGUAUAUAUGUGAUCCUUCACCCCCACCCCAAUGCCCUUCCCUAAGCCUUCUACAAUCUCAAUCUCCAGGACACCUCUGUCUGCUCUGCCUUUCUAGAUGUAAUUUCUUUUUCUUUUUUCUUUUUUGCUUUUUAGUGGCGCACCCACGGCAUACGGAAGUUCCCAGGCUAGGGGUCCAAUUAGAGCUACAGCUGCUGGCCUACACCACAGCCACAGCUACGCCAGAUCUGAGCGGUGUCUGUGACCUACACCACGGCUCAUGUGGCAAUGCUGGAUUCUUAGCAAGGCCAGGGAUCAAACCCUCACCGUCGUGGAUCCUAGUCAUGUGUGUUAAUGACUGAGCCACAAAAGGAACUCCUCUAGAUAGCACUUUGCAACUUCAGACACCACCCCCCACCCCAACAUGCCACAUAUAUUUUGGGCACAGGGACUGCAGAUCACAGUAAUAUACCCUGAUUUUUAUGGAACCCUCUUACUUGUCCAAUUUUUAUAGGUCUUAUCAUUUAAAGAAAAAGAAAUUAAGCCAUUCUGGCUAACUGAAAAAUAGUUCCCCUAAGGAACUUACCACUUAAUGACUGUAUUAGUGAUUAACAGAAACUUCCCACUCAGGAUUCUUUUAGAUUUAUCAUAGAGAUAAAAUCAAUACCUUCCACCAAACUGAUAUUUUUGAAAUACAGGAACAGAAAAAAAAAUUAAUUAUAAAGACUAGAAAUAACUCCAGUUCUCCCAGUUUAAGAUCUGGCUAACUUUUUUUCUUUUUUUUUUUGUAAUGGCUGCACCCUCAGCAUAUGGAAGUUCCUGGGCCAAGGACUGAAUCCAAGCUGCAGUUGUGACCUGCGCCACAGCUGUGGCAACACCAGGUCCUUAACCUGCUGUGUCACAGGGGGGAGCUCCAUGGCUGACUCUUAAGAUCAUAAUUUAGGAAUGGAUAGUCCUUGGGGAGCAUCUAGGCCUGAUUCCUCACCUCCCAGAUGGAAACUGAGGCGCAGGUGGCAUUUCACAGAUUGCAUUGUCUAGAAAAACAACAAUAUUUUCCUGGCAGUGGGGCCCAGGCCUUUUGAGUCCCGAAUCCAACGUGCAUAUCCAUCUGCCCUGCUUCAUUAGAUGAUGGUACAAGGGGUUGGAGGCACAGAGAAAUAAGCAGACACCAACCUUGCUUUCAAGGUGUUUACAGUCUAGCAGGGGAGAUCACACAUCAUUACCUAAAAAUAAUGAUACAAGGUGAAAAGAGAUAAGCUCUACAAAAGUGGUAUCAAUUAAAAAGGAAUCUUUAAAUCACUGACCCUUGAAAAAAAAUUUUUUUAUACAAUAGUAACCUAACCUAUGAAACAGUGAAAUUCUUCCUUUUUCAAGACUCCUUGAAACCAA
rnacentral:lncRNA from 1 species